rnacentral:rRNA from 1 species
GGUAACAGGCCGUAUGGGAUCCCUUCGGGGUGACCUUGGCGCUGACGAGUGGCGGACGGGUGAGUAAUACUUAGGAAUCUGCCCAAUAGUGGGGGACAACUCGAGGAAACUCGAGCUAAUACCGCAUACGCCCUACGGGGGAAAGCGGGGGAUCUUCGGACCUCGCGCUAUUGGAUGAGCCUAAGUCGGAUUAGCUUGUUGGUAGGGUAAAGGCCUACCAAGGCGACGAUCCGUAGCUGGUCUGAGAGGACGAUCAGCCACACUGGGACUGAGACACGGCCCAGACUCCUACGGGAGGCAGCAGUGGGGAAUAUUGGACAAUGGGCGCAAGCCUGAUCCAGCAAUGCCGCGUGUGUGAAGAAGGCCUGCGGGUUGUAAAGCACAUUCAGUAGAGAAGAAAAGCUUACGGUUAAUACCUGUGAGUCUUGACGUAACCUACAGAAGAAGCACCGGCUAACUCCGCGCCAGCAGCCGCGGUAAUA